UUAACUGGGUGCAGAGCCACAGCUCCUAGCUAGGAAAGCAAAGCUCCAGUCCAACCGGGCAUCAGGCUGGUUGAGGGAACUGUUUCCUGUAUAUUACUGGCAACCAGCAUGAGGACCUGGAAAAGCACCUCCCCUCCUCCCUCAGUGGGUUCUAAAUAAGCUUGUUGAAAGGUCACCAACUUUAUCUCAUUUUAAAAAAUGGGACUUUUCUGGCAUCUCCCACUCAGGGCACUCCAAGUGAUCCACAAGCAUGAGUGGAUUUAGAAUCACAGGCACCCCUCCAUGGUAAGCUGCAUCACCCCCUUUUAUACAGAUGGGGAAACUGAAGGUGUAGAAAAGAGAAGUGACUUGAAUAUGGUCACAUUAAGUCAGUGGGAGAAUCUAGAUCUUGCAACUCCUCAAGACCAUCCUUCUUCCCAUCCCAGUCUGUCUUCAUCCAUUGUUCCUACAAGCUGACGAAGAAAGAGCUCCAGGAUACGGGCUGAAGAGCGUUCAUAGCCUUAAGGGGCUAGUCCAGCCCGAAUCUCUUAUGGUCCGCCUGGGAAUUAGCUACCCAUUGUCGGCUCCUCCUAGUGAGUCAUUCUAAUGACUGCUAUGCGUCGGCAUUUUAUUGACCUUGGAAGAGAACCCCCUCGCUCUGUCCUUGCUUCCCUUUGACACAGGCUCCGAGCCCGAGAGCACCUCCUUACCUCGGAUGUUUUCAGGAGGCUCCUGUGGAACAGGUUUGGGUCCAAACCUUGUUGGGUUUGCUGGACGCCGAACAGCUUGAAAUGGCACCAACAGAGAGAACAUCAGCUUAAUGUAGAUACUGUAUUUGUUCCUCAUAAAGGCCGUGCAGGGAGCUUCAGUCAGACACAGUGACUCAGAGGGUGGAGCAGUAUCAAAUUUCUCUCCCCCCCCCCCCGCAAUUUCUAAAAACCAUCAUCACUCCAUGGACAUUAGGGUCUUCAACAAGGGUUAGAAGCAGUAAAAUUACCUUUCCUCAUACAAGGAGCUGCUGGGUUGGCUGGCAGCAUAUGGCUAUUCUACAGACUAUACAGGAGAGGAAAGCUGUGGCUGGAAUCUCACCAGCUACAGAGGAUCCUCUAGCCACCAUUUCUAACCCCUUCCUUAAACAGAAGGGAUGCCUGUUAGCUCACUUGGCAACAGUCCAAGUGGUAGAAACUUAGGUUGGUCUUGGAAACACUUUUAACUCCACCCAGAGAAGAAAGCAUCUGUCCCUGUUAAUUGACAGAAUGCAAGACAAUUACUUUCUUCUUGUUUUGUUUAAAUAUCUUCAGCUCAGAAUCAGCUUGAUUUCACAUAAGCAACUCAAACCUGAUGAACAAACCGCAGGGGGACUAUUUGAGAACACAGAUCUGAGGAAACCCCCUCACGGUGGUCAGACAUCACUGGGAGCCCAGCCACUUCUAAUGUACCUUCUCAGGAUCAGCCUUGGACUGGGGGGCGCCCACCUGCAGUGGGGCAGCUGCCGAUGAGCUGGUGAAUUCUUGCAGAGGUAAUAUAAGAAAGUCACAUUACAAAAGGGGUUGAAGUAGCCUUGGGUUUAUGAGAUGAAGGGCCAGAUCUCCUGCUGACAUAAAUUGGCAGAGCCCCAUUGACCUCAAUGGAGUGACACGGACUUAUUCCUGCACCUAUACAACUGUGCAGCUUGCAAUGUUUCAGAUGCCACCCACGUUAGGUAUGUACCACCGCAGGCAUUCCUUCAUUUCUGAGGCCUUCGCCCCUAGAGGCACUGUGGGAUACUGACCAAGUGCAGAGCCAAGGGCUAUAAAGUGUAGAGAUCGACGGCAACACACGGUCACUGGGAGCUGCAGGUGUUCUGCCCCUCUCAAAGUCAGGCCAGUUGUUUAGGUGUCUAGAUAGGGAUUUAGGCAUCUAAUUUUACCCACCCAUGUCUGACAUUUUUGGACUCUAAGUAGCUUGACAAAAAUUACAGGAAAUUGGCAGGGUGCUAGAACAGUGUUUAUAGUGUGGGUGCUGAAAGCAGAAACCAUUGUUGGAAACCAUUACGGCUUCAAGCCAGGGGGUGCUGCUAGACCCCCAGUAUCCCCAGGUCCAGUACCCCUGAAGUUGGUGUCAGAGGCAAGAUUAGAACUCAGGAGUUCCUACCUCCCAGGCCUGUGCUUCAGCCUUGCCUAUUUUCUGAAAAAUCAGUGAAGGAACUCAAGAAACUACUGCAAAGAAAUUAAAACAAGAUGGCUGCCCAUUUGUGUAAAUAACUCACUCAUUGAAAAUACCUCUCUGUGUGCCCUCCCCACUGGGUCUGCAGCAAAUCCUAGUGCCACAGUUUUGUUGACAAUCUUCAUUCUUGCGAGUGUACAAACCAGGAAGUAAAAUGAAAAAGCCCUGUUGUUAACUUCAAGCUUCAGUUGAGUAACAUAAGGAAGAGCAGAAAAAAAAACACCCCUCAAUCUUUGCCAAAUUUUAAAGAACAAACCCAAGAAGGAGAGAAAUGUGAUUUCCCAGCCCCUAUUAGGGGAUUAUAAACAAUGCAGAGUAAGAAAUAUAUGACAAGCUCUAAAAGUAGGUGACAGUAUUCUUUUCAUUGGGAAAAUGGAAGCCGAUUGAUAUUAAUAUGGUGUUAAAGAGAAUAUGAAAAAAACCCCUCACUAAUUGGCAAGGGUUUAAUUAGUCACAAUAAAAAACAGCCCUUGAGGCAUUUUGCUUUUUAGUCAUUCACACACACCUCCACUUGUUCCUCUUUACAGAGUCAGGAGAAUUAUUAAUGCUCUUUAUCCCAAGAACUUUUCCCUUGUAGCUUUGUGACAUUCACAGAUGGUUUUACAUUUCAGGGGUGGGUGUGAGGUAAAGACACAAAUUUCUCCUCCAGACCCUCUCAGUUAAAAUUAGAGUACAGCAAAAAUCAGGACGGUCCCAUCACUGAGCUUUUUCAAUGCAGACAAGACGUGUUCUAGGUCUUGUCUAUACUGGGGGAAGGGGGUUCCAGUAAAUUGGAUGUUUCUUACACUCUCCCAGUUGUGGGAAGCAUUUGCUAAGUGCAUAUGAGCCUCACAUUGAGAAAAGGCUGAAACUGGAUUGUUCAAACAUUAGGAAGCCAACAGAAAAUAAAUAAAUACGGAAGUGGAGUAGCUAAUAUUUAUGUAGAACCUAUACAAAACCGCCGUUUUGCAUUCCAUUUCUGUGCUCCUUCUGCUGGCUCUGUCAGAGCAGUUAACCAACAAAUUGCUUUUCCCAGAGCUGAACUGAUACCACUGAGAUGGUUGGACCAUGAACCAAAAAAAAAAAAGAGAGAAAGAGGUAGAGAGAAGUGGGGUUUUCUGAUCACCCCAAAUUUGGGGAAAGAAUGUCACUGCCUGACAAUGGAAAGCAGAAAAUCUGACGGAAUCUGACAAAUUUCUAUGAGGAAAUAGGAAAGGAAAAUUAACAGAUUAAGUAAAGCACUUGAUUAAUUUCUCUUCAGCUUGACUCCUUUAGUUUCCUUUAGUUGUCUCUCCCCUUCAGUGUCCUUUGGCUGAGUUUAGUUUAUGUCCCUAUGUUUUUAAAUGGACGCUAUUCCCCCUCCCACCUUGGAU